rnacentral:rRNA from 1 species
ACAUCGUAGACUUAGUGAGAUUUGGGCCAGCCAUACGGACGCUACCGCGUCUCUGGCGCCCACCACUAUAUCCACACCAACCCCUGUGCACUGUGAUGGCGAAAGUCAUCGAACCAAAAAAACUCGUAUGGUUGUAUGUACGUGAAACUGUAGGCUUUGCCUACGAACUAUACACAACUUUCGACAACGGAUCUCUUGGUUCUCCCAUCGAUGAAGAACGCAGCGAAACGCGAUAGGUAAUGUGAAUUGCAGAAUUCCGUGAAUCAUCGAGUCUUUGAACGCACCUUGCGCUCCAUGGUAUUCCGUGGAGCAUGCCUGUUUGAGUGCCGCGAAUUCUCCCUCCCCAUACGGUGGCCGAAAGGCCGGAGUAUGGCGGACGGGGUUGGAUGGGUGCCGCUGCCUGGGAAACCAGGCUCGCCCGAAAUGCAUAAGCGCCAGGACCCUCGCUACUGCCCUCUAGGGAAGGGCGGCUGAGCGACCGCUGAGCAUGGCAUGAUACGUCAUUUGCUGUGUGUGGGCGGCCGGUUGGAGAGGUGUCUGCUUUAUACAGCCCUUUUUAUUCUGGUCUCAAAUCAGGUAGGAUCACCCGCUGAACUUAAGCAUAUCAAAAGCCCGGAGGAAA